GUAAUUUGGAGAUAAAUUUUUGAAGGAAAAUGUGUGACCCUGCUUAUUUCUCCAGGUUCAUCCACGUUCAGUGGAGUGGAACCUAGACCAAGAGCUCUCAGGGAUUUCUCCAUGACUUUUGCUUCUUACCGUUGGGAAAAAAAAGCACUGUUAUGGUAGAAAAAAAAGCACUGUUAUCCUUGAAAAAAAAAAACUGUAGUGUUAAUGGAUUUGAAUGUUGGACAACGGUUAUGAAAGAAUGUCUGAAAAAACACUAUUACCGUUGAUGCUUUCAAUUUCACCUCUGUUAAAUUAAUUUGUUGUGGCUCUGUGUUUGCUAGAAGUCCCAUGCCCACCGGGAUGACCAGGUGUAGGUAGAGACCAACCACUGUUAUCUAUCGCUGUGAUUCAUGAGGCUGCAUUGCUUGUGAGCCACUGCUUAGAUUUGCAGUCAGUGGAUUGGAUGCUGUGUCGGAUCUGGUCUUCAUCUACUCAAGAAAGCAGUCAUUUUGACUGAAAUUCAGAGGACAAGGAAUACUUCUGGACCUCAUGGCUGUAUUAUUUCUCAUAAUUCCAUUUCACCUGCACAUGUUGAAUAUGGCAGUCACAUACUAGGUGUCUCAAAGCACUUCGCUCUUUCUAUCAUAAGGAACAAUCUGCGCUCUCAUUCUAAAUCCUCUAUAAUUUUGCUCAAGGGAUUUAAUAGAUUGCUUCACAAUAUUAAUCUUUAUCUUGUUCGGGAGGACAAUACAAAUCAUCUUUAGCUUGGCCUUCAACUUACCAUUGACUCAGGGGAUGACCAGAGAGGAGACACAUACUGAUCAAGUAUGCAGAUCUACUUCAAAAACAUUCCGAUCAGCUUGCAACAUUGAAAACAUGAGAUGCUGAUAAUGUCUAGAUCUGGCUCAAGCAUUUGAUGUGCUAGAGAUACUAUUGAUAUAUACAUAAAUAUCUUUGCCAUGUCUGUAGAGUGAUGCUGGACUAUCUCAAUAUUUAUUGCAGUCAAUGUAAAACUAAUCUUACUUUUGAAUCAAACUGAUCAAGUAAUUUGUAAAUUGAUAUAUGUAAAUGGAUUUGUUGUUUAUUUGGGAGGGGUUGACUUUGCCCCCUCCUCUAGACUGGAGGGAAUGGUCAUUGGUCAUGAUCAUUCUCUUCAGUCUAAUGUCUUCGUGUUGAUUUUUUAUAUCUUUAUAUUAUAUAAAAUUCAAACUUAUUUUUUAUUUA